GCAGCUGUGAUGGGCAGACAACAGCCUGGACAGACCUAUCCUGCCAGCUUGGGAUCAGACUGUUUCUUUCCUCCGUCUACUGGAAUCUGAUCUGGGGCCCCUGGAGAAGCACCAGCAGUCUGGGAGCAUGCCCCACAACAGGUAGUACUAGAGAUGGAUUAGUGUCUUUGGUUUGGGAAAGCCUUAGGCUCCUAGGGCCAGCCUGCCAGGCCAGAGUGUAAUGGGCACCGGAUUACUGAUUCAGUCCUAGUGCAGGGGAGGGGAAAAAAGGAACAUGACUCUUUCCAGUUCCUUCGGCUCUUUUGAAGAGGUUUUGCCUGCCAGUUCCCUGGACCUGGAGCCUUUAGGUUUUCUGGGAAAUUGGGAAAGGAGAGAGGUAAGGACUCCAUUGGUCAUUGACAAAGAUAUAAUAAUAAUAGUGACCAUAACUGAGCACUUACCUUGUGUCAGGCACUUACAUAUAAUAUCUUAUUUCAUUCUCCCUCAAGCCUUUGAGGGAAAAUAUCAUGACAGUUUUACAAAUGAGGAAGCUAAAGUUUAGUGAAGUUGAAUAACUUCCCGAAGUCCACAGCUGGCAAGUAGCAUGUCAGAUUUGAAUCCAAACCUGUCAACACCAAAAUCCAUACCCUGAAUCAUUACAGAACCUAGGCUCCUGAAUAUUCCAGACCCAGACAAGACUCCAGACACCUGCUUUAAAAAUUUUUUGUUUAAUAUCAGUUUACUCUUACUUUAGUCUUAUAACCAAAGCAGAUACAGUAUCUGGUACAAAGAAAUGGUCUUUGCCGCUGACCGCUAGUGAGGCAGUCCCGGUGCUCUUACCAAGCACCGUGAGCUGGACUCAGAGACUGUUACCUGAAGUCUAUUGGAAUGUAAGUCACAUCCGGGAAAAGGCUUUUGACUUGACUGAGGGGUCUCUGGGACUAUGACCCCUCUGCUGAGAAUAGGGUCAGACUAGAACCUAGUUCCUUGGGGAGCAAGGCUUUGAUGGCUUCUAGCAGUCAUGCUGAGGGAGGAGUGUGCUUGAAUGAAAGUAUUUCCUUGAAGGGCAGUUAUGUGUCUCUAUCCUUUCUCCUACCUCCCCCACCCUGUCUCCACAACUGGCUUGUGGUAAUUCAAUCUAGAUUCUUCUCAUAGACUAUUUCACUGUGCAUAUGUGGCCUUUUAUUUACAGCCUUUGACAGUCUGAUUGGAUAACAGCUUACCAGCCUGCAGGACUCAGUCCACUGCCUUGGGGGAGGGGAAGCAGAAAACACUCUGGCUUUGCUUCCUAGAGCCUAGAAGCCAAAAGGAACAGCCAAAGGAAGAGCAAAGGGUUGACCAUGCUGAACAGUCAAGAAGCAUAGGGGCCUUUUUUGUCCCAGCUAACUUGCUUUUGCAAAUAUACACUUGAGAGCUAUCCUCCAAGUAGAGCAGCCCACGUUGGACCCACCCGUGGUACACUGUCUCUGGUCUUCGUGGUUUCCUGCUCCUUGCUGCUCACCUAUACGCAGCAUUAGGAGGCUUUACCUCUAUCCACUGCUGCAUCCUCCAUCCCCUCCAUCUGAAGAAAUCAGUGUCUCAAGGUAGGAACUAAAUCUUGCCUAAUUCCCUAUAGUCCUCCUCUCUAUCCCUAACCUACAUCCUCAAAAGAGGUAGGAUUUACAGCAAAUUCUCAAUCUUUAGAGACUUCUAAUUGUAGCAGUUAGAAGCAAGGCACUUGGAAGUAUAGGGAUGUGUGUGUGUGUGUGUGUGUGUGUGUGUAUCUGUGUAUUUAUGUUGAAAGGGAGGAGGGUGAGAGGGAGGACAUUUAUUAGCACCCUUCAUAGGAACCUUCCCUUGGGCCCAAGGUUUUAAUUUGGCUUAGUUUGUAAUUAGAGCUGAAAGGGACCUUAAGAAGUCAUCUGAUUUAGCCUUUUGCCUCCACAAACAGGUGCUAUGAGUUGAAUUAAGGAGGAAAUCAAAUGAUUGAUCUAAUGGAGGAAGGCAUACACUUGCUGGCUGGAUUGGUGGAAGAGAAUAUUUAUCUAGGUGUAAUCCCUUUUGAGCAGAAGGAGAACCUGGAACAAAGCUGAGUUUAUUAUUAUUUUAUUUUUAUGGAAUAAAGGAAAGCAACCCUUUACAGCUCAGUGAGGUCAAUGGCUUCUAGCUUAUUCUUUUCCUGGGUAUAAUUCCUAGUGCUGCAGUCUCCUCUCAGCUGAGCCUGAGAGGUAAAAGGCUUGGAGCUUGUUUGGGGUUCUACCCCUAGAUGUUCUGUCUGUGAUUUUGGUUACAUUAAAGGUGCCUGCAUAUUUCCAGUUCAUAAGGGAGGUGAUAGACUUGGGGAAAAGACGAUAAAUCCACACCAGGUGGUCCUAGGAAAGAGCCCAUUCUACUUCAGAACCAAACCUCUUCUAGAGUGUGUUUGACUUUUGGGAGUGGACUUUUAGCUGAACCUUUCUGUAACAUAUUUUUUUUUUGUUUUUAAUUUUUUGCCGCAUUGGGUCCUCGCUGCUGUGCGCGGGCUUUCUCUAGUUGCGGCGAGUGGGGACUACUCUUCAUUGCGGUGCGCGGGCUUCUCAUUGCCAUGACUUCUCUUGUUGUGGAGCACGGGUUCUAGGCUCAUGGGGCUCAGUAGUUGUGGCACGUGGGCUCAGUAGUUGUGGCUCACGGGCUCUAGAGCGCAGGCUCAGUAGUUGUGGCGUGCGGGCUUAGUUGCUCCGCGGCAUGUGGGAUCUUCCCAGACCAGUGCUCGAACCCGUGUCCCCUGCAUUGGCAGGUGGAUUCUUAACCACUAUGCCACCAGGGAAGUCCCUCUGUAACGUAUUUGAGAACCCAAAAGCAAAGCAAGCUCUGUGCUUUGAAAGAAGACUCUGCAUUAGGGAGGCCUGAUAAGGAAGCAGGCUAGGCCUCUUCUAACACACUCCUAGCAUGCUGGCUGGCCUCACUUGGAGUCCAAAAUAACAUAAUACCAGUUCGGAACAGUGGCCUCCUCAGCUAGGAGCAGCUACACACAAUCUGGAGGAAAGAUAGAUGCGCUCCUGGGCAUUGGCUGCUAUUCCAUUUGUGAAUCAGACUCCUGAUGCCAUAGCCAGGUGCUCUCAGGCAUCUAACAGCCUGUUUAUUCUCUCCUUGCAACUCAGCCCAGACACCACCGGAAUCAUUAUUAGCACCAAUUCUUAAAUCUCCAAAUUCUUUCAGCACUUCUCACACGUUUCAGAAGUAUUUGUUUUAUAGGUAAUUCAGAGUCUCCAUCAAAUCUCAUGGCCUAUAAAGACAUAGAACCUUAGCAGGCAUGAAGGGUAAUUAUUCAAACUGAUUUUUCUGAAUUCACAUAGAAAGUUACUUUCUGUACUCAGAAGUAAGUAAGUCUGCUGUUAGUGCAGUUAAUUGACAUCAUUUUCCAAACAUAUUUGAUUUGAGAGCCAUGAAAAAAGAAAGAUGAUUUCUCUCCGUUAAUAAUUUGUUUCACUCCCCAUUUCCUCGACCCCAACCAACCAUGUUCAGUCUUGCCUUUGUCUUUCCCCAGAGGUUUUCAGAAUUUCUUCCUCUGAGCCCUAGGGUCCCCUGGAAGUGCCUUUGGGGGCCCUGCAGUGGAGAGAGGGAGUUGGAGUGUAUGGGGCCUUAGGCCUUCCCUGCUUCAACCAGAAUAGCUCUGUUUUAUGUGUUGGGGCUAAAAAGUUUGAAACCGCUGCUCUAACCCUUGUCUUACAUCCUAAAACAUCUUUCUUGCUGCCCUAGCCCUCCCCAGAGACAUGUUGGCAAUGAUUUUAACAAAAUUAUGAGCCUCGCAAGUUGAGCUUUCUUACCCCUAAACAUCCAGCACAGUGCUUUAUACACAGUAGAAGUGUGUGCAGUGAAUACUUGUGGCUUGAUUGCUUGUUUGAUUGAUUGACUCCUGAGAUGAUAUUAAUUAAUGGCCUUGGGAUGCUUCUACACCAGAAAAGAGAGUAUAUAGUAAAUCAUAGUUUAUUUGUUAUGAUUUGGGCACUUCUGACCUUUCCUACUGCAAUCAGUCAUGCAGUCUGAGGUCAAAACAUGGCCUAAAGGAGUUACUUAAUACUUAACAUAGGUUAUUGCUGGUGUAGAGGAUACCUGACUAGGUCAACACAAGCAAAAGUACUUCCAAAGAAGUGUGUCCUGAGGUAAAAGGUAAGCAGAGUGAUUAUUGGGAAACACUAGGGACAGAAAUAUACUAAGAUAACAUAGCCUUAUCUACUUUUCAAUAUUACUUGCUUUCGCUAAAAAUUACCUGCGUGAUAGUUUCCAAAACUACUCAGUGUCUUGAUUAUGGAAAGUACAAAUCUUUUUCUUCGCUAAGCUGCCUUAAAACACCGUCCAGGCUGUUUAUCUGUAGCCUCCAGUAUACAUCUACAUAUCUUUUGAAGGGGGGGGUGGGUGGCUUUAUUUUGUUUUUAAUCAAUUUAUGUUUUAUAAAAGUGAUAUAUAUGUUUAGUUUUAAAAAAGCCAAAUAAUAGAAAAAGGACAUUAGUGGGAAAACUGGCAAAAUCCAUAUAGUCUGCAAGUUUAGGUAAUAGUAAUAUAUUCAAUGAUGAUUUCCUUGUUUUAACAAAUGCACCAUGAUUAUGUAAGAUGGUAACAUUAGGGGUACUGGUUGAAGGACAUACGGGAACACUCUUAACUAUCUUUGCAACUUUUCCAAAAAUUAUUCCAAAAUAAAUAAUUUUUAAAAAUUUGUACACAAUAAUGAAGAUCUUCACAAUG
rnacentral:lncRNA from 1 species